GAUUAAUUAUCAUAGGUGUAGCAUUUUUGCUUGUUUCUUACACUUUAUUCUUCCCUUUGUAACUGUUGGAUUGAAAGUUAAGUUUCUUAAAUAACUAGUCGUCCUAGUUGCUUGUUUUUCAACCAAUUCUUCUCACUUGUAUAAUUUGUCUCCUCUUGCAUUCUAAUUCAAUAAGAAUGAUGAGAAUCUUGUUUAAAGUUUACAACAUGGUAUCAGAGCUCUCAAUCUGAGAGCUCUGCUACACAAAUUCCUCCUACCUUAUUCUCUACAAAAUCACAUUUCAGAGGCACACGUUUUUCUUUCAAUCAUCCAUUGACCUGCAACACUUAGUCUCUGCCAUAAUUAUGCAUUUCUUGGUCAUGAAUUCCAAUCACGCUUUUCAUCCUUUGAGGUUUGUUCUCUUUCUUAUAUAUUCCUUUCACUAAAAUCAUUAAAAUGGCGUAUAUUGACUUUGAUGAAUCACAAGCUAAUCCAUAUCUCUUUUCACUUAGAAUUUAUCCAAAAAAGUCCUUCUAGUCCUUCUUACCUUCUAAGGAAAACCUAGGAGCAAUUCUUGUUUUAUCAUCAAUGGAGGGUGAAAACUAUCAUUCAUGGAGAACAUCCAUGAAAAUGGUAUUAUUUUCUCAAAAUAAAUACAAGUUUGUUGACGGAUCAAUAACAAGGUCUACCAUCAAUGAUCUAAAUCUUGAUGUAUUGUAGAGAUGCAACACUAUGAUUGUUUCUUAGAUUACCAGAUCCAUCUUUUAUCAAAGUGUACAAAGUAAAUGUACAUAUGGAGUCCUUGAGGCCAACACCUUCUUGUGUAUAUGAAGUGCAAUGUAAGUUUAACCUUGUCAAGAACAUCAAAGCUCAUGGAAAAUUAGAAUAUGUGAUUUGUGUAACACCGCGAAUUUUACGAUUUUGAAUUAUAAGAUUUUAUUAAUAUUUUUAUUAAUUAUAUAUUCGAAAAUGAAUUUCUGGGAAUUUUACAUCGUGACAUAGUGGUGUCCGAAUAUGACACCCGGAUCUCCUAAACCAUCUCAAAGGUUUUGGAGUUAACUUGGGUUUUAGGAAACCCAAUAUUUUUAUGUUUGGAUGCUUUUGAAUAUAUAUGAUUGUUAAGGAAAUGUAUUGAAUAUUGUAUAUGUGAGAGAGAACACAUCGUGACAUAGUGGUGUCCGAAUAUGACACCCGGAUCUCCUAAACCAUCUCAAAGGUUUUGGAGUUAACUUGGGUUUUAAGAAACCCAAUAUUUUUAUGUUUAGAUGUUUGUGAAGAUAUAUGUUUGUGAAGAUAUAUGUUUGUUGAGGAAAUGUAUUGAAUAUUGUAUGUGAGAGAGAACACAUCGUGACAUAGUGGUGUCCGAAUAUGACACCCGGAUCUUCAAAACCAUCUCAAAGGUUUUGAGGGUUAACUUGGGUUUUAAGAAACCCAAUAUUUUUAUGUUUGGAUGAUUUUGAAUAUAUGUGAUUGUUGAGGAUAUAUAGUGAAUAUUGUAUGUGAGAGAGAACAUAUCUUGACAUAGUGGUGUCCGAAUAUGACACCCGGAUCUCCUAAACCAUCUCAAAGGUUUUGGAGUUAACUUGGGUUUUAAGAAACCCAAUAUUUUUAUGUUUGGAUGCUUUUGAAUAUAUAUGAUUUUUGAUGAAAUAUGUUGAAUAUUGUAUAUGAAUGUUGUUUGGAACUUUUCUGGGUGCAGGUGUUUGAAAAACCAUGUUUAAAUGUGUUUUGUUUGUCGAAAAUGGUAAAAGUUGGUAUUUUGUCCAAGUCCCUGUCGCCUGGGCGAGGGGAAGUUUUGGGUUCUGGAACUCCUCGCCCGGGUGACAAAUCCUCGCUUGGGCGAGCAAGGGUCCCCCGCUUAGGCAAAAAAGGCCCAGGAUUUCGAUGAAAUUCGGGAACUUUCUCGCCCGGGCGAGCAAAAGCCCGCUGGGGCAAAAAAAAAUUAAUGAUGUCUUUCUUGAGCGAGAAGGGGCCUCGCUUGGGCGAGGAAGGCUUAAGUGUAAUUGAAAUUUAAAGAUGAAUGGUCGCUUGGGCGAGAGGGCCUCGCUUGAGCGAGAGAUGCCCAGUUUUAAAAUGGUAUUGUUGAUUGAAUUUUCGCUUGAGCGAAGGGUCCACGCUUGGGAGAGAGACAGUGAUUGUGUUUGACUAUUUGGAUUGAGUGGUUGAGUAUGUAAUAACCCUAGUAUGGGUAUGUGAUAUAAAANNNNNNNNNNNNNNNNNNNNNNNNNNNNNNNNNNNNNNNNNNNNNNNNNNNNNNNNNNNNNNNNNNNNNNNNNNNNNNNNNNNNNNNNNNNNNNNNNNNNAAAGUGUCUUGGUAUGGGACCUGUACUCUUGAUUUUUUUCCGACUAGGUUAUUGGGAGGAUAUUGGUGUGAGGUGGAUGAUCAAGACAUAGCAUGCAUAUAUUACACUUGUGGAAGUGGAUUCUCACAUUUGAGUUACAAACAUCAUGCACAUAUUAUUACUUAUGGUUAUGAUGUAUUUUUAUGAAAUGUAUGUUGAUACAUUAUGGUUUAUGUUGAUAAACGGUGAGUUAUGAUGUCGGUUAUAGAAAUAUAUGUGUAUGUGAUUAUUUGGGGUUAUGAUUCCCACUUAUGUGUUAUUUAAUUAUAGUCAUGAUAUCUUGUCGAUGAAUGAUAUAUUGAUAAAUGGUGAAUUAUGAUAUUGAUGGGAAUAUACAUAGGUGGAGUAGAUAAUUGUUUAUGAGAACAAUUAAUGAGUUUGGUUAAAUUACUCAUAUUGAGUAGAUAAUUGUUUAUGAGAACAAUUAAUGAGUUUGGUUAUAUUACUCAUGUGGAUUGGAUAAUUGUUUACGAGAACAACUGGUGAGUUAUAAUGUGAUAUGAUAUACAUAUAUGAACUGUUUUUCAUAUAUGAGUGUAAUAUUCUGAGUAUGUCCACGCCGUCAAUGAAUUUAUGUUCAUUAGAUGUCUUACUCUCUCUAUUUCUCUUCUUUUCUAUUGCUUGCUUUUCGGACGUGUGCUCGUCAGGUAGACAACUUCGCUCGGAUUUAGAGCUACCCGUUCGUGAUGUUCCAGGAGGGGGCAUGCGGAAUUGAGGAGAGGCAGUACCCUAGCUUUGGAGUUAGCCACUAGGAGUUGCUUAUUCAUUUUGUGACUUUUGAAACACUGAUGGCUUCAGCUUGUUCAUGUCUUUGUUUAGUGUCUGCUGGCGAUGAUUAAUAUUUUCGCCAUUCCUUUUUGGAUUUUGUAUAUGUUAGUGGCGAUGUAGUUUCCGCCUUUGUUGACUUAGUUUGUAUGAACUAAAGAUGACUUAACCGUUUAUAUGCAGUGUGUUAUUCAGGAAAUUGUGAAUCAGGUUAAGUUAUCAUUCAAUAACGAUAAGUUGAUUUUCCGCAUUUGAGUUACUUAAAGUGAUGUCCCGGAAAAGGAAGGUUUUUAAAAGGAAACAAUUUUAUAUCAUCAAUUAAAAAAAAAUUUACCAAUUUUUCCGCAAUGUUUUUGAGAAGUAUUUUUUUGGGGCGUUACAAUUUGUUUCUUGAAAUGUUUCAAUGACCAAUUUCAAACCACUAUGUCAAAAACCAAGUAUAAAAUACAUUUUCAAAAAUGGGUUUCCUAAGAGCAUUUGUUUAAACUUAAUAAAAAGACUUUUGGGAUUAAAGUACCUAACUUAGAAGACUAAUAGAUCUUGAACUUGAUGAAUACAUUUCUUCUAAGUCUUCAAAGUCUUUAUCAAUUUACUUCUAAUUGGUGUCUUCAUCAAAACCACGCCAAUGUCAAGGCAAGGAAAUUUGCCUUCAUAUGAUUCUAAUAUGGAACAAAAGGUUUCCUAUUACUUGAUUUCAGAGUAAUAUAAACAUUCCUCUUUAGAAAUGUUGUGUUUAAUGAAUAUGUUUCCCCUUUAAUGGUGACAACUAUUCCAUAUCUUUCCCCUUAGAUAAGAAAGAUGAAUCCAAGUCCAAUAUAUAUUUCUUCCUCUAUGAUCACUUCAUUGUUUGAUGGUCUUCCAAUCACAAUAUCCACAUACCCUACCAAGACUCCUCCCAAUCCUUAACCAAACCUCUUUACCUAAUCUCUCCACCAAUAAACUUAUCUCACCUUCUCCAUUACCUCCACUAGAUAUAGAUAUCCUUCUACCUAUGUUCAUGAUUUCCAUUACAACAUUACCUUUUAUCUUAUAUUUUAUCUUAUCAUUCUUUAACCCCUAGGAAAUUCACUAUACCUUGACCAUGUCCAUUGACAAUGAACAACAGCAAAUUUUCUUCAUAAGAUUCUAAUCUCUGAUAAAAGGUUGACUUGAAGGAAAAACUUGACGGGAAAUCAAGCAAGUAUUUCAAUGGAUUUAAUGUAGAUAAUUUUAGAGUAGAGGUAACAUUUCUAUUAUGUUAUCAACACUUACUGUACUUAGAGAUCAAUUUACACAUCCAAACUUGUGGAUCAAUGGAUACUUAGUUUUAUCCAUACUUAUGCUUUGCUUCCAUACACGAACAAAUUGAGAGAAGGUGAUAUAUAAAAAGCAUUUUCCAAAUGCUAUUAUUAUAGUUUCUGCAUCUCAUGAACAUUUUUUGCUAUGUAGUUGCUAUUAUGGUUAUGAUACUGUUAAAAUUAAUAAGUGUUUCAUAAAUCAUGACUGCGUUAAAUGAUGACAUGGCUUGUCAUUUGUUUUUCCCUUUUGAUCAGCAACUCGUAGAAGGUCAAGAUGUUCAUCUAGAGCAAGUAAAAGCAAUACUCUUGGAUUCAGCUAGCUUCAACGGAUUGAUCAUUACAAGGUGAACCACAACGCAAUGUUAACAUUGUUGCUUAAUGACCAAAAUGCUAUUGAUUCAAAUUCACUAGCUUGCGGGGAAAGGCCG
rnacentral:lncRNA from 1 species